UGGAGGUAGAGCACUGUUUGGACGAGGGGCCCCUCUCGGGUUACCGAAUUCAGACAAACUCCGAAUGCCAAUUAAUUUAACUUGGGAGUCAGAACAUGGGUGAUAAGGUCCGUGUUCGAAAGGGAAACAGCCCAGACCACCAGCUAAGGUCCCAAAAUAUAUGUUAAGUGGAAAAGGAUGUGGCGUUGCCCAGACAACUAGGAUGUUGGCUUAGAAGCAGCCAUCAUUUAAAGAGUGCGUAAUAGCUCACUAGUCGAGUGACACUGCGCCGAAAAUGUACCGGGGCUAAACAUAUUACCGAAGCUGUGGAUUGUCCUUUGGACAAUGGUAGGAGAGCGUUCUAAGGGCGUUGAAGCAUGAUCGUAAGGACAUGUGGAGCGCUUAGAAGUGAGAAUGCCGGUGUGAGUAGCGAAAGACGGGUGAGAAUCCCGUCCACCGAUUGACUAAGGUUUCCAGAGGAAGGCUCGUCCGCUCUGGGUUAGUCGGGUCCUAAGCUGAGGCCGACAGGCGUAGGCGAUGGAUAACAGGUUGAUAUUCCUGUACCACCUAUAAUCGUUUUAAUCGAUGGGGGGACGCAGUAGGAUAGGCGAAGCGUGCGAUUGGAUUGCACGUCUAAGCAGUAAGGCUGAGUAUUAGGCAAAUCCGGUACUCGUUAAGGCUGAGC
rnacentral:rRNA from 1 species